ACGAACGCUUGCGGCGUGCUUAACACAUGCAAGUCGAACGGUGAAGCGCCUUCCUUUUUGGUGGGUGUGGAUGAGUGGCGCACGGGUGAGUAACACGUGAGUAACCUUCCCCCUUCUUCUGGAUAACCGCAUGAAAGUGUGGCUAAUACGGGAUAUUCUGGUUCUGUCGCAUGAUGGGUCUGGGAAAGAUAUUGUUUCGGUGGGGGGUGGGCUCGCGGCCUAUCAGCUUGGUGGGGGGGUGAUGGCCUACCAAGGCGGUGACGGGUAGCCGGCCUGAGAGGGUGGACGGUAACACAGGGACUGAGACGCGGCCCAGACUCCUAGGGGAGGCAGCAGUGGGGAAUAUUGCACAAUGGGCGGAAGCCUGAUGCAGCGACGCCGCGUGAGGGAUGGAGGCCUUCGGGUUGUGAACCUCUUUCGCCAGUGAAGCAGGCCUGCCUAGUUUGUGGGUGGGUUGACGGUAGCUGGAUAAGAAGCGCCGGCUAACUACGUG
rnacentral:rRNA from 1 species